GGCACUAGCAUUACGUUGUAGGAUCAUCCUGGAUCUAUGCGAGACAGUUGAGCUGUUCCGGGGCUUGUUUCACGAGGCAGCAUUGGGACGAGGUGGUACACAUAUCCGGAACUCCAGCCUCGAAAAGCUUUCUGAUAUCCGACUUUUAAAGGGGGACCAUCUCGCCCUGCGCGUACAGUGUGUCAACAUUCUGGGAUGACAUGGCGACACUCCCACCAAAGCUUUUGAGCGAGUUGCCGGACGCGAGUUUAGCAGCGGGAGGCGAGCAUGUUGUCAUCUUCCAGUGCAGCCAAGGAUUGCAGGUUUCGGUGGUGCUGGUUCCAAUUCAGGUCGCGGCUGCGUUCCCUGUUGCUGGGCUCUGAAUUGAAAUCAGCGCCCUUGAAAGUUUGCGAUCCACACGGGGGAAAUCCAUCGGUGCUAUUUUCUCUCGAUGUCUUUGCACUGGAACAAAUACGUUACAACGCGUGAGGCAAGACGUUCGUCGUGGAUCAAUCAGGUACUAGGUUUUUUUAUUUGGCGCUCAAAGCGUUAACUAUAGUGGCAAAAAGUACUAUGUUUACA